AGCGAACGCUGGCGGCAGGCCUAACACAUGCAAGUCGAACGGACCCUUCGGGGUUAGUGGCGGACGGGUGAGUAACACGUGGGAACGUGCCUUUAGGUUCGGAAUAGCUCCUGGAAACGGGUGGUAAUGCCGAAUGUGCCCUUCGGGGGAAAGAUUUAUCGCCUUUAGAGCGGCCCGCGUCUGAUUAGCUAGUUGGUGAGGUAAAGGCUCACCAAGGCGACGAUCAGUAGCUGGUCUGAGAGGAUGACCAGCCACAUUGGGACUGAGACACGGCCCAAACUCCUACGGGAGGCAGCAGUGGGGAAUCUUGCGCAAUGGGCGAAAGCCUGACGCAGCCAUGCCGCGUGAAUGAUGAAGGUCUUAGGAUUGUAAAAUUCUUUCACCGGGGACGAUAAUGACGGUACCCGGAGAAGAAGCCCCGGCUAACUUCGUGCCAGCCGCCGCCGUAAGAC
rnacentral:rRNA from 1 species